GAUAAUUGAAACUCAAUAUUGAAUUCUCAUUCCUUCUAACCCCACAAAAUGCGGAUGUGGAUCAUUCUGGUAAAGGUAUUAGAAAAUGGAGCUCUGUCAUUCAUUCUCAAUGAUUUGUCACCGUGCUUACACUUCUCAUAACCAAUGACAAACUGGCGAACAACUACCCCCACUUCUUCGACAUAACUACCUAAUUACUCCACUUCUAUGAAAAACCAGAGAACCAGGCCAGAGAGGAUAUGAACUACAAAAAGAUAGAGAUGAGAAUGGUGAAAAAUCAGUUUUCUUUAAUGAAAAAAUCAUUGUUGAUGAAGAAGAUCUUUCUCAUGCUGAUGAAGAUACGAUUCAGAUCACAAUGGGGGGUAAAUACAACAACAUUGUAUUGGCUUCAAUACCUAGGUGGAAAUACAAAUUCACGUAUAUCAUCCGCCGAAUUCAAGCCAAUGAAGUAGGACUUGCCGGCAUAAUUAAUCCUAAAAUUUAAAUGGAAUCUCUUCUCUCCCACUUGAAGUGGUUUUGACUCUCCUAUACUGAAGGCUUCGACAUCCUGACGGUACUAGCAACUAGAAUUUGGAGAAAAAGCCUCCGGAUGAUGAUAAAGUUUAUAACUCUGAUCCAAAUUUUGUCGACCUUAAGUAAUGAAAGGUAGUAUCUCACUCAUGUUUUUAUAUGUUUGCUUAACCUUCAUAUAUUUGAUAUACCAGCUACAACCUUCAUGUUUCCCGGCAUACUAGCUGUUAAAAUCCUUACGGACACCCAUAUCUAUAACUAUGUAACUAUUAGAUAGCAAUUGGUACAUCAACAGGUUAAGGGAGUUGUUAUAGUUUUGUAAGAAUAUUAAAAGAUUGAAGACUUGAUUAAAUAACUCAAUAUGCAAGGAUUAUGUGAGCAUAGUUCAAUGUACAGUCUUCACUUUUGUAGGCCAAUAUUGUAUUUAACCUCUGCUUUCCAUGUACCUUUUGCCUCACUGCUUAAUUCAUUGUUAAAUAUUUGACGACGACUUAACAUUUUUACGAUGCAAAACACUGACUCUUCAAGAGUUUAUGACACUCUAAUUUGAUUCACCAUAGUGAAGGGGUUAUACAGUUUCAUGUUUUACUCUGAGCUAGAAUGUCUCUAGGAUGUCUCUUUGCAUCUUCCGCAGCCUAAUUACUUAACCGUAACUAUUGAUGCAGUUGUUUUUGAUAGCCAUUUUCUUAA